rnacentral:rRNA from 1 species
UACGUAGGGUGCAAGCGUUAAUCGGAAUUACUGGGCGUAAAGCGUGCGCAGGCGGUUUUGUAAGUCUGUCGUGAAAUCCCCGGGCUCAACCUGGGAACGGCGAUGGAGACUGCAAGGCUAGAGUUUGGCAGAGGGGGGUAGAAUUCCACGUGUAGCAGUGAAAUGCGUAGAUAUGUGGAGGAACACCGAUGGCGAAGGCAGCCCCCCUGGGUCAAGACUGACGCUCAUGCACGAAAGCGUGGGGAGCAAACAGG